GACGAACGCUGGCGGCGUGCUUAACACAUGCCAGUCGAACGGUGAUGCUCCAGCUUGCUGGAGUGGAUCAGUGGCGAACGGGUGAGUAACACGUGAGCAACCUGCCCCAGACUCUGGAAUAAGCGCUGGAAACGGCGUCUAAUACUGGAUACGAAACUGGCCCGCAUGGGCAUGGUUUGGAAAGUUUUUCGGUUUGGGAUGGGCUCGCGGCCUAUCAGCUUGUUGGUGAGGUAAUGGCUCACCAAGGCGACGACGGGUAGCCGGCCUGGGAGGGCGACCGGCCACACUGGGACUGAGACACGGACCAGACUCCUACGGGAGGCAGCAGUGGGGAAUAUUGCACAAUGGGCGAAAGCCUGAUGCAGCGACGCCGCGUGAGGGAUGACGGCCUUCGGGUUGUAAACCUCUUUCAGCAGGGAAGAAGCGAAAGUGACGGUACCUGCAGAAGAAGCACCGGCUAACUACGUG
rnacentral:rRNA from 1 species